AGCCCCAUAGAAGGUCCCAUGGGCCCCAUAGGACCCAGCAGCCCCAUAGAAGGUCACAUCAGCCCCAUAGAAGGUCCUGGCAGCCCCAUAGGACCCGGCUGCCCCAUAGAAGGUCCUGGCUGCCCCAUAGAAGGACCCAGCUGCCCCAUAGAGGGUCCCAUCAGCCCCAUAGAAGGUCGUGGCAGCCCCAUAGAGGGUCCCAUAGCCCCACAGAGGGUCCUGGCAGCCCCAUAGGACCCGGCUGCCCCAUAGAAGGUCCUGGCAGCCCCAUAGAAGGACCUGGCUGCCCCAUAGAGGGUCCCAUGGGCCCCAUAGAUGGACCUGGCAGCCCCAUAGAGGGUCCCAUCAGCCCCAUAGAAGGACCCGGCUGCCCCAUAGAGGGUCCCAUAGGCCCCAUAGAAGGUCCUGGCAGCCCAAUUGAAGGACCUGGCUGCCCCAUAG
rnacentral:lncRNA from 1 species